AUAGCAGAUGAACUAAAAAGUAAGGGUAUGAUACAUGAAGAAAAAUAUUCAGAGAUCAGAGCAGAACAAACCAGCCAGGGCAAAAUGAGAAUGCUGUUUGAAGCACUAAAUUCUGGAGGAGACAGAGUGAAGCAUGACUUUUAUUAUGCUCUGAGAGAUCAUGAACCACACCUCUUCAAAGACCUGGGUGGUGAGACAAUGGAUAACACCGAUGGCACCCAGAACAACCAGCGAUAGUUAAACUGAACACCUCCUGCAACCAAGACACGGAAACAGAUGCGACCUGAUGGAAAAAAAGAAAGAUGAGAUGCAGCUACCUGAAGAAGAAAGAAUGUUAAAAAUGCCGUUAAAGGAACAGUUCACACAAAUUCAAAUUGUCAUCAGUUAUUCUCCCUCAUGUCACUGAAAACCCAUAUAACACUUUUUAUCAGAAUGUGUAGGCUGUGUUCUACAUCAUAUAGGUAUUCAUUCAUUUUGUAGGUGAACAGUUUUUAGUUUUUUAUGCUAAAAUCACAAUAUUUUAUACAUUAUCAUCUACAUAUUUAACCAAGCCUUUAUAUUAUAAAAUAUUUUGAAAAAGACAGGAUUUUGCAGUAGCACCGUCUUGAUAAUUCUUCAAACAUUGUGUUUUUUUUCCAAACUACAAGUGUUUAAAUUUUGUUAUAUAUUCAACUUUUUGUACACCUACUUUUGAAUACAUUUAGAUUAAAAUCUAAAUCAGUGAAAAUCAUCCAUUGACUUACAUCAGUGAUUUCAUAAUACUUGUAUACGGAAUUGUCAUAUACGUGCUUUU